rnacentral:lncRNA from 1 species
CUGAGCCCCUCUGGGCCUCCAGGGUGACGAGGAGCCGUGCCCUGGGGGCAGUAUUUUUAGUUCCCUGUGUCUGGUCCCAGCUGCUCUGGACACCUCUCCCCACCCCCAGCCCCGCGCUUGGCAGAAGGCUCCAGGAGGACAGCUGGGGAGAAGGGGAGACGUGCCCAGAGGAGUAAAAAGCAGCCCCACCCUGUGGCCCCUCAGGUUGGUCUGAGGGUCCCAGGAGGCACAGGCAGGAGCGCGUUGGAAAACGGCGUUGCCAGCGCUGUGGACAUAAAGCAGGACCUACUGGUGCUGAUGUUUCCGGGGGUAAGCGGCGAUGUGUCCAGGGGCCGGGCCCGGCCUGGGGCAGCCGACUGCUACCCCCAUCUCCUUCCGCCCUCCCCACCCACACCGCUGGGCUUGCCCUCCAGCCAGUGACCAGAAGCAGGGGCAGAAGCUGCUGAGGCCGUGAGUUGCCUCUCCCUGUGACCCUGGGCCUGGCACAGAGCCGACCCUCGGUACCGGGCUGUUGAAUGAAGGAAGGAGGGAAGGAAUGAUAGCCCCCUGGAAAUCGUUAUGGCAUUUUUAGCUACGCAGGCUCCACCGUUAAAGCUGGAUGGGCUCUGAGGCUGAGCGGCCCGGCUUACUGGGUUAACGUGGAG